GCCAUGGUCACUCAUGGCUCAGAAUAAAUCUCUUCAAAUAUUUGACAGAGUUUGACUCUUUUCAUUGACAUCUCUAAGUAAAAGGGGAUGCUGUGCUUUUAGAAUAUUCUUUGGGUGGGCUUCUUUUAUGAAAGCCCUGUUGGGGAAAAUUGCCUCAUUUUUACUUCCCCAAGUAAAUUCCUUGGUUUCUUUCCCAAGGAAUUUUUCCCACUCUAGGGGAUGCUAAGCGCCAUUUUCUGGAACAGAACAGGGAGGUAUUUGGAUAAAGCCAGGUACUUGGCGAGGCCACCACUCCUGCCCACAUGCAGUGCCCGGGAGCUGAAUGGAGGCUGCACUUUCCCACCAGCAGGCUCUGAAGAACCAGGAAGAAAACAGGAAGUCGAAACCAGGGCUAGGGACCUGGAGCAGAUUCCCACGCACGGCUGGGUCCCUGCUGUGACCCGCUGGACGACAGGGUGAUCAAGGCACCUGCGCUUUGUGGCACAGCUUCCCCCAGCCACCCAGGGCCUCAGGGGCGCAGGUCACAGGGGCCACAGGGGCCCUCUCUGUCCUCUCAAGGAGCUCGCCUGGGGGCCCUGCACGGAUCACAGAAGGAAUACAAAAGCCUCUUCAAGGAAAGGUUACGGUUAAGGAACCCAUAAACAAACUCGUGAAAGGAGGGCAGAUUAUGCCUUCAGCCAACCGGACAGGAACCAGGAAGUGAGUAGCUGAUCCGUAAGAACUGAGCAAAAACCAGCCAGGUGCAAAGAGUCCAAAGAGGCACGCGGAAGGCCUGCUGCUGGUGGGGACGCCAAUGCCUGCAGAGGGACUGCGGGAAGCCAGGGCCACUGAGCUGCUGCUCCCUUUCACCCUGCUGUACCUGCUGGAAUGGGAUGGCACUCUUUUCUUUACUGCCAUGGGACAGGGAGCUCCAGAAUUUCCGAGGACUGCAGGGAGAACCUGUCUACAAGACAGCCAAGCGUAAGAGAAGCCAGAGUUGAAGUUAUCUUGGAACCAGACAGUGGAGGAUUGGUGAAUUUGGUCACCAGUGGAUGCUGGGCUUGCCACUAGGGGCCAAGGUGUGGAUCAAGGAGCUUCCAGCCAGAACCGCUAACAACUUAAGGAGAAAACACGUACUGGGACAAGAUGGGAUCACCCUUCCUGUGAUGGCUGGCUCCGGUGGAAGCCUGCGUGGGGCUCCCAUACCCCUCACCCUCCUGGACAGAUCGUCACCCUGUCUCUGCUUAAAUGCCUCUGGUAACAGGGAGCUCACUAAUCCACAAGGAAGUCUGCUCUGUUUUUGACACCUCUGACUAUUAAAGUUACUCUUUUUCU
rnacentral:lncRNA from 1 species